GACUCAAAGACAAGCCUUAUUAUUAUUAUUAUUAUAUUUACAGACUGUAUCAAUAACAAGUCAUUGAUGAUUUUCCUGGUUGAUUUAACCAGUACGUUCUAGCUGCACUAAGAUAAGAGAAUCACUUAUUCUGCUUAUAGAAAUCUGUCGUAGCAUUUCGUACAAUAAGAGUGCUUUGUGUCGUUCGGACUAUAUUUGGUUAUGCUUUCAAAUUCGAGGAUGGCUGCCUGGUCGUGCGGUUUGCGGGCUGGACUGUCGUUCGGAUUUAUCGAUGGUCGAGGGUUCAAAUCCUGCCCGCUCCCAUCCCCCGUUUUCCUGCGGGAGGUUUGGACUAGGAAGUAAACUAUCUUCAACUCUGAAGGAACAUCCGAAACAUAUUUGAAGAUCCAAACCCAAACCUUACACAAGACGAUGGUGAUGACAGCGGACAGGGUAUGAAGCUCACUGUUAUCGAAUGGCAAUGAGUUUAGCAACCAGCUAUUUCCAAUAAAGACGAUGUGAAGGUUCUUUUCUUCUCUAAUUUACGUAUGUGUAUUUCAAUGCUGAUUACUAAAUGUUACCAAGUCCUGAACAAUACCGUAACGACACAUAUAACGACAGAAUGAACAUUCAGAAUGACAAUUCACGGACAUAUAACAUGUUUAUUACAUAUGCUUUCAUAUAAUACAGGCACAGUUCUGGCAAAUGAAAUAUCCAGUAUCAAUUGAAAUAUCCAGUAUCAAUUGAAAUAUAACAGCUCAAUAUCCCCUAAGACUGAACAAUAACUAUACAGAAAUAAUUAGAGUCUAUAGUCUAUACUUUAACUCUAUAACUAAAAUCCAACUGUCCUGGACUAUGAACAAAAACUACACUGUUUUACUAUCAGUUACAUUCCAUUCCAAAAAAAAAAAAUCUCACAAAGUAAAACAAUCCAAAACAAAAACAAUCUUGGAAUCAACAACCCGAAUUGCCCCCCUUCUCCUCUAAAGUAAACAGGAGACCCAGGCUGACCAGAACUUAUUCCUGACAGACGAUCUUAUAA